GAUCGACGCGCGUCAACCGGACGUGGCGGUACAGGGAACAGGUCGGGUUUUUCCGGUUUCCCCACCUGGCCAACGAAACGGCAGCCGAGCCCUUGCCCCGCCCGCUUU
rnacentral:sRNA from 1 species